rnacentral:tRNA from 1 species
GGAAGAGGAUCGCACCCCGGUGGGGCGCCUGGAUUUCAAAUCCAGUGAGGGGCGUACAACGUCUCUGGUGGGUUCGACUCCCACGCUCUUUCGCCA